UCAGGUUGAUGGUCAACUGGUACAUUAACUAAAAUGGUUGUUUGAUGAUGCUCAUUGGCUAGACCUAUAAGUGCAACAUGUUCCUCAUUGCUACUAGCAGAUCUACAGCUGGAGUUUCAAUAAUACUGUAUGGAGCAUCACCUUCAACCUGUUCCUCAACAUCUGAUCAUGUGCCUGAGAGGUCAAUAGUACUCUCAUCAUCA
rnacentral:lncRNA from 1 species